rnacentral:lncRNA from 1 species
CCGAUGGACAGUUCCUUACCUGCCGGGUCGGCCUCCGCAGAGAGUGGUGGUCUUGAAAACCCAGUUUUGGGAGAAUACCUGCCGCGCCUCCCGCCCAAAUACCCAGAGGUUUCAUAGCCGCCAUCGCUGCGGUGGAGGAGGCCGCCUGUUGCGUCCCACCCCACCAGAAAGCCUAACACUGGCCUGAAGCGUAAUCUUAAAGUGGUAGGGGAAAAUACCGAUCUAGCGCAGAGAGCAAAACACCUCCGUUCUGGGUUUAAUGGGCAGGUCUGGAGGUGAGGUAUGCCGUCCGCACUCAAUAAUUACUUGCAGGAUCGGAUUGUUUCUCCAGUGGGUGGGGACUGCAGGAUGUAGCAUUGAGUGAGCCUGGCAGAUUGAAAGAUAAAACAAGGGUGAUGAUAAAAACAAUUACACACUAACCCAUUUCCUCCUCCGUGAAAUGAGGGAAUGGCCCAGACAUUUUCCAGACCUCUUCUGUCCUAAGAGUGGAGCUGGGUGACAGAGCAGGUGCAAGCCGGCCUUUCCCUGCCUCCCCGGGGAACGCACUCUGUUCGGUGAGAGCAACUCAGCUCGCAUUGACUCCUUUCAGCUGCAGGAGUGUGGCCGUUCAGUUCUCAUUUGAACUGUUGACAACAGUUGUCUUCUGAGAAUCAUGAGUUAGAGCCUCCCUUUAGGCUUCUGACUCCCUCAAAAGUACCAGACAACACAAACUUUUCCCCUCUUGUUACCUUGGCUCUCUAAGCUGUAUCUACUUCUAUACAAGGCGAACAAUUUUGUCUUUUUAAAUUAAAAACAACAACAAAAGCA